GAGUGACGGAGGGAGGGAGGAAC
rnacentral:piRNA from 1 species